UAAUUGUAGUCUGGAAUGAAUGGUUUAACGGGGAGUAACUUUCUUAAUUUUAAGGUUGAAUUUUAAUUAUUAGUGAAAAUGCUAAUAUGACAAAGGGGGACGAGAAGACCCUGUGGAGUUUUAUAUUUAAGUGAUAAUGUUAGUAGAGUAUUCAUUUAUUAUAUUUUGCUGGGGCGGCAAUAAGUAUGACACUUAUCAUUUUAGCUUAUUAAAAGGUAAUUGAUCCAUUAAUAAUGAUUUUUAGAUCAAACUACCCCAGGGAUAACAGCGUAAUUCUAUUUUAGAGUUCUUAUCGAUAAUAGAGUUUGCGACCUCGAUGUUGGAUUAAGAUUCCUUAAUAGUGCAGUAGCUUAAUAAGGUGGUCUGUUCGACCAUUAAAUUCUUACAUGAUCUGAGUUCAAACCGGAGA
rnacentral:rRNA from 1 species